rnacentral:rRNA from 1 species
UGGGGAAUAUUGGACAAUGGGGGAAACCCUGAUCCAGCAAUGCCGCGUGAGUGAUGAAGGCCUUAGGGUUGUAAAGCUCUUUUACUAGGGAUGAUAAUGACAGUACCUAGAGAAUAAGCUCCGGCUAACUCCGUGCCAGCAGCCGCGGUAAUACGGAGGGAGCUAGCGUUGUUCGGAAUUACUGGGCGUAAAGCGCGCGUAGGCGGUUACUCAAGUCAGAGGUGAAAGCCCGGAGCUCAACUCCGGAACUGCCUUUGAAACUAGGUAACUAGAAUCUUGGAGAGGCGAGUGGAAUUCCGAGUGUAGAGGUGAAAUUCGUAGAUAUUCGGAAGAACACCAGUGGCGAAGGCGACUCGCUGGACAAGUAUUGACGCUGAGGUGCGAAAGCGUGGGGAGCAAACAGGAUUAGAUACCCCCGUAGUCC